CCCAGCCUCUCUUCCAGGUCCCUCCUCGUCGGUGGCCGUGGAAUUCUUCGAUAUUAUUUCCUGUUCCAGCGUAGCUUCGCCUUUAAUGCCAAACCUAAUACAGUGGUACGGUCGGAGCGUCUGUCCUCGCCACACGCCUUCUAGCUCACGCAUCGGUGCACUCGUCCGCGGUCACAAAGCGUGACAUCGAUGACGCAGCGACACCGUCGUGUGACAAUCGUGGGACUAAAUGCUCUAGAGCAUCUCCUCAGGAGUUUCAGAUUCACGUAUGUCAAGUGUUUCAACAGGUCUGUGCUCCUUGUUACUGUCUCACACUACAUGCAACUAGAGUAGAUUAACAGGCCAUGCGAGUUUUCCGAAAACCAUAACUUCCUAAGGUUAUCUGCACAAUAACACAUUGAGUGUUUCACGCCAUAUUCUCUGAGUUUGCAUCGCAUCUUAUCAUGAGCGGCUGUGCUUCUGAUUUGCAACGCCUGACAAGCUCCUGGAGUUCUGUGGUGAAUGGCAGCACUACAUAACCAGCACCUGGCACAGUAAUUCUUCACACUUUUCUCUCCGUGGCGAUCUGAUUCACAGUAUCCGUAACACCGCAGAUCCUGUAUUAGGUAUGUCUGCAUACUUCACUGCCAAGCUGUCAUCCUCCAAGAUAGGAGCGUUCAAAGUUAUUCUGGGACCAUUGCACUAGCGAUCAAGUUAUCUUGCCCCACCGUGCUUCACUCAGUCUUAUAGAGUACGUCUAGUGCCGAAAAUGAUUUGGGAAAUGGAGCAUUAAAGGGCAGUUUUCAUCACAGUGAAUAUUCCAUCACAUUCCGUGAUGUCGGUAUUUUGAAGAAAAGAUGGCAUCGUAGCGAAAGUCCUCCAACUUGCUGGCAGAUCUUGAUUUUUCCAAGACCAAGGAGACCCUGCAGGUGUUUCGCCAACUUCCCGAACAUCAUAAUCCUAGAGGGUUGUUAUCAUCAUGAGGCAAUGUGUGUUGUUGGCAAGGAGCAAAAAUAAUACGGAUCUUAUUCCAGACCCAUAUAAGUCAAAUUUAUUAAGUUAUGAGGUCAUUUCUCUCAGAGAGAGCGUCUAUGAGGUCUUAUGACGAAAACCCCAGAUGAAUGUUUACAAAAUAGUGAAAGCAAAUGGCUAAGCUGGGAAAGAAAGAAAGAAAACAUGUUAUCAAUGUUAUGGUCUUUAAACCUUUGACGUCUCUUGUUGAGUUCUGAGUGCCUCGAAGUGAGAGCAUAUUUGAAUAAGAUAUAAUGCAAUUACUCUUAUAUGAUAAUGUUAUUUAUUUAUUAGCCUGGCUUCCAAUGAUACCAAUACAUAUGUAUUCCACAUAAAGAUGUAAAUAUCCAAUGUAAACAUGUAUAAGUAGUGCCUUCGUGGAUGUGUGAAGUGAGAGUUGGGCUGUACAUUUGAAAAAGUUUUUGGUUCAAAUUGGGUUCGGGGUUUGGGGUGUAUCAGUGCAAAAUGAAAUUUUACCCACCACUUUCUUUGACCAAAAACACAGAUUUUUUAAUGUUUUUGUGGUAAGCGAUCGAAAAAUCUAAAUAACUACCUCGAUUUUCAUAGAAAUCUUUAAAGUCAAUAAAUCUCAAAAUGCAUGAGACGAAAUUUGUAUGGAUUAAUUCUAUAUGCUUGAACACAAUGUCAAUAAAACGUCACAUUCAGCGCCCGAAAUACGCAUUUCAAUCACCUGUUACUUAUUUAACUUUGUUAACUCAUUGGACUCGUAGAAUGAUGUGGCUCAUAAAUCGCGUAAUUACUUAUAUUUCAAUAAUUAAUCUCUAUUAUUAUGCAAAA